rnacentral:rRNA from 1 species
UACGUAGGGACCGAGCGUUGUCCGGAUUCAUUGGGCGUAAAGAGCUCGUAGGCGGCUGCUCAAGUCGAAUGUGAAAACUCGAGGCUCAACCUCGAGCCUGCAUUCGAUACUGGGCGGCUAGAGUCUGGUAGGGGGAUCUGGAAUUCCUGGUGUAGCGGUGGAAUGCGCAGAUAUCAGGAAGAACACCCGUGGCGAAGGCGCUCUGCUAGGCCGUAACUGACACUGAGACGCGAAAGCGUGGGGAGCGAACAGG